UACGAAGGGGGCUAGCGUUGUCCGGAAUUACUGGGCGUAAAGAGCUCGUAGGUGGUUUGUCACGUUGUUCGUGAAAACCCACAGCUCAACUGUGGGCGUGCGAGCGAUACGGGCAGACUAGAGUACUGCAGGGGAGACUGGAAUUCCUGGUGUAGCGGUGGAAUGCGCAGAUAUCAGGAGGAACACCGGUGGCGAAGGCGGGUCUCUGGGCAGUAACUGACGCUGAGGAGCGAAAGCGUGGGGAGCGAACAGG
rnacentral:rRNA from 1 species